GACGAACGCUGGCGGCGUGCUUAACACAUGCAAGUCGAACGAUGAUGCCCAGCUUGCUGGGUGGAUUAGUGGCGAACGGGUGAGUAACACGUGAGUAACCUGCCCCUGACUCUGGGAUAAGCGUUGGAAACGACGUCUAAUACUGGAUAUGACUACCGGCCGCAUGGUCUGGUGGUGGAAAGAUUUUUUGGUUGGGGAUGGACUCGCGGCCUAUCAGCUUGUUGGUGAGGUAAUGGCUCACCAAGGCGACGACGGGUAGCCGGCCUGAGAGGGUGACCGGCCGCACUGGGACUGAGACACGGCCCAGACUCCUGCGGGAGGCAGCAGUGGGGAAUAUUGCACAAUGGGCGAAAGCCUGAUGCAGCAACGCCGCGUGAGGGAUGACGGCCUUCGGGUUGUAAACCUCUUUUAGUAGGGAAGAAGCGAAAGUGACGGUACCUGCAGAAAAAGCACCGGCUAACUACGUGCCAGCCGCCGCGGUAA
rnacentral:rRNA from 1 species